rnacentral:rRNA from 1 species
GAUGAACGCUGGCGGCGUGCUUAACACAUGCAAGUCGAACGGUGAAGCAGGAGCUUGCUCCUGUGGAUCAGUGGCGAACGGGUGAGUAACACGUGAGCAAUCUGCCCUGGACUCUGGGAUAAGCGUUGGAAACGACGUCUAAUACCGGAUACGAGGCAUGGGGGCAUCCCCAACGCCUGGAAAGAACUUCGGUCCAGGAUGAGCUCGCGGCCUAUCAGCUUGUUGGUGAGGUAACGGCUCACCAAGGCGACGACGGGUAGCCGGCCUGAGAGGGUGACCGGCCACACUGGGACUGAGACACGGCCCAGACUCCUACGGGAGGCAACAGUGGGGAAUAUUGCACAAUGGGCGCAAGCCUGAUGCAGCAACGCCGCGUGAGGGACGACGGCCUUCGGGUUGUAAACCUCUUUUAGCAGGGAAGAAGCGAAAGUGACGGUACCUGCAGAAAAAGCACCGGCUAACUACGUGCCAGCAGCCGCAGUAAAAC